rnacentral:rRNA from 1 species
GAUGAACGCUGGCGGCGUGCUUAACACAUGCAAGUCGAGCGAGUGAGUUCUUCGGAACGAUCUAGCGGCGGACGGGUGAGUAACACGUGGGCAACCUGCCUCAUAGAGGGGAAUAGCCUCCCGAAAGGGAGAUUAAUACCGCAUAAAAUUAUCGAGUGGCAUCACAUGGUAAUCAAAGGAGUAAUCCGCUAUGAGAUGGGCCCGCGGCGCAUUAGCUAGUUGGUGAGGUAACGGCUCCCCAAGGCGACGAUGCGUAGCCGACCUGAGAGGGUGAUCGGCCACAUUGGGACUGAGACACGGCCCAGACUCCUACGGGAGGCAGCAGUGGGGAAUAUUGCACAAUGGGGGAAACCCUGAUGCAGCAACGCCGCGUGAGUGAUGAGGGUCUUCGGAUUGUAAAGCUCUGUCUUUGGGGACGAUAAUGACGGUACCCAAGGAGGAAGCCACGGCUAACUACGUGCCAGCAGCCGCGGUAA